CCUACGGGAGGCAGCAGUAGGGAAUCUUUCACAAUGGGCGAAAGCCUGAUGGAGCAACGCCGCGUGCAGGAUGAAGGCCUUCGGGUUGUAAACUGCUUUUAUAAGCGAGAAAUAUGAUGGUAACUUAUGAAUAAGGAUCGGCUAACUACGUGCCAGCAGCCGCGGUCAUACGUAGGAUCCGAGCAUUAUCCGGAGUGACUGGGUGUAAAGAGUUGCGUAGGUGGGAUAAUAAGUAGCUAGUGAAAUCUGGUGGCUCAACCAUUCAGACUAUUAGCUAAACUGUUAAGCUCGAGACCGUUAGGGGUAACUGGAAUUUAUGGUGUAGGAGUGAAAUCCGUAGAUAUUAGAAGGAACACCGAUAGCGUAGGCAGGUUGCUGGGACGGUUCUGACACUAAGGCACGAAAGCGUAGGGAGCAAACGGGAUUAGAUACCCUUGUAGUC
rnacentral:rRNA from 1 species